AGAGGCCAUUGCUAUCAGGGUUUGACUAAGCCAUGCGAGUCGAGAGGUGUAAGACCUCGGCAUACUGCUCAGUAACACGUGGUUAACCUGCCCUAAGGUGGAGAAUACUCCCGGGAAACUGGGGCUAAUGCUCCAUAGUGGAUAUGUCCUGGAAUGGUAUAUCCUCGAAAGAUCCGUCGCCUUAGGAUGGGACUGCGUCCGAUUAGGUUGUUGGCGGGGUAACGGCCCACCAAGCCUUUUAUCGGUACGGGUUGUGGGAGCAAGAUCCCGGAGAUGGAUUCUGAGACAUGAAUCCAGGCCCUACGGGGCGCAGCAGGCGCGCAAACUUUACAAUGCGAGCAAUCGUGAUAAGGAAACCCUGAGUGCCUGUCGAUGCAGGCUGUUCAUAUAUCUAAAUCAUAUGUGAAGAAAGGGCAGGGCAAGACCGGUGCCAGCCGCCGCG
rnacentral:rRNA from 1 species